rnacentral:rRNA from 1 species
GGGCCAGCCAGCAACACGGGAGACGAGACCAACCUGGGCUCGGGCCGCACGAGUGGGCAGAAGAGGGUCGGCGGGUCGUUGUAGCUGAGGGGAGCCGCUGGGGUUGAGGCCGCCGCCGCGACGUCCAGCUUCGCCCCCUCCGCCGCGCAGACUCGUCGGCCGCCGGUCGCCUCCUCCUCCCCAGGUAUUCCGCCGCAGUGCCAUUGGCCAGGCCGCUCACCGCUUGCCUGCUUCUACCGGCCUUCUCCCCCGCGGCCUCGCUACAGCUUCGCCAACUACCUCGCCUACGACCCCUACAAGGCCAGCGCCUGCGUCCACCCGCAGCUGUCCCGGCCGUUGGUGAUGAAGAGGGCGCAGCUCCUCCAGCUGCCGCGGUACUUUCUCUUCGCCACCUAACUCAAGUUCCCGCUGGCCCUGGGCUGGUGACAAGGUCAACUCACCUAAACGACCAACUUACCUGUUUCUUUCUUUCGAGGAUGCGGUCUCCUUAAUCGACUUGACCUCCGCUCCGCACUUGCGCACUUCGUUUUACAACUUGAAGAAUUUUUCUUUCUUCUUCUCCUUUCUUCUCGACCACAGGCUGGUCAGUUCUGUUAGCCCUUUUGUCUAUGAGGUUUAGACUCUUCAAAAUGUGUCGUCAAGGGACCAUGUAGACUUCUAUUUUUCUUUCCUGAACUCUUCCACAGAUUCGGAUCACCUCGCUGACUACGUCUUCUACGGUGUUGUCUAUUACUGUCCAGAAGGCUUGGUUGACCUUGACCACGGUCGAAAUUUGGUCCCUGAACCGACGGCGGUAGUACUUACGGCUGGAUAUUAAGGUCGUCUGCUUCCUAGAGACGAACUCGUAAAAACACUCCGGAUGGACGACUGUUGUAUAAACGACUACCCGUUGUUACAUACGGACAGUUAACAAUUUCAAUUCACUCCAGAGUGGGAGUGAUUCGUUGUAUCCGUGGGAGAGAAAACUAAAAACGGCUCAAGAAGCCACGAUCAAAACUAUCGUUUUGCAACCCUUUGUUGAUUAGUCUGGAAAAAAAAUACUUCAAUUCUCCGGACAAAAACCAAACGUGCUACAUUGUCGACCUUAACCAAAUAGCCCGUAUUUAUUCGUACUACACUCAAAGUAUGCAUAUUGUGUC